UCGGCUCGAAGAUGGAAUACAAAAAUAA
rnacentral:sRNA from 1 species